rnacentral:lncRNA from 1 species
AUGCCGGGAGGUGGCAGCAGGUCACUGGGACAUGACACAGGGAUCAGAAUGGUGGCAGUGGGGACACAGGGAGGGGUUACUGGGGAUCAGAGGGUGGCACUGGGACGCAGCGGGUGGCCUGGGGCUCUCACCAGCCUCGGGAGGGGGGUGCCAGUCCUCCCCCCCCAGCUCCCAGCGCUCCGUCGGCAGCUCCUCCAGCCCGCCUGGGGACAGGGACACGCAGAGGGGGGGGCAGCGCUGGCGUCCCCAGCCCACCCCCAGCCCCCCCCCCCAGCAAGGGGACCCCAGGGAGGAAGGAGACGGGGGACAAGGGGCAGGAUGGGGGUGGCCCCGGCCACACCAUGCGCCCCCCCCCCGGGGACUAAAGCAGUGGGGAGCCGAGGGGACGCGGUGACAAGCGCUCAGCACAGGACGGGACCCCCGGUGUCCCCCCGCUCACCUCGGUCUCUGCCAUCCUCCUCCUCCUCCUCAGGGACCCGCGGCUGCCCUGGGGACAGGGACGUCCCCUCUCUGUCCUCGCCCCGCGGGGGGUGCGGGGCCACGGGGGGCUCCCAGGGGGUGUCCGGUGGCUCCGGGGGCCUCGUGCCCGAGGGCUUCUUGGUGGCCUUGGGUGGCUUCUCCUUGGGUGGCUUCUCCUUGGGCGGCUUCUCCUUGGGCUUCUUGGAGCCUUUUGGGGGUUUCUCGGAGCCUUUUGGGGGUUUCUCGGAGCCUUUUGGGGUCUUCUCCUUGGGCUUCUUGGGGGGCUUGUCCCCGUCCUUGCUCUUGUCCCUGCUCUUGUCCCGCUCCUUGUCCCUGUCCCUGUCCUUGUCCUUUUUGGAGCCCCGUGCUCUCUCCUUGGGCUUUUUGGUGGGUUUUGGGGCUUUUUCCUUCCGGCCCUUCUUGGGUGCCUCGGGCUCCGGCAGCCGCCCCGGAGGGUCUGGGGGGGGCCGGGUCGUGUCGGGGGGAGUGGGUAGGGACAGGACAGCCCCGGCCGGGCACUCCCAACCCAGCACCCCCAGCCCAGCACCCCCCAGUGCCCCCCAUCACUGCGCCCCCCGUGUCCCCCCCUCCCCAAUCCCGCUCCCUCCCGGUACCGGGCAGCCCCAGCAGCCCCCCCCUCACCGGUGCUCAGCCCGGUGCCGGUGCCCUGCUCGGUGGCGAAGCCCGGCUCGGUGCCAUCCCCGUCCCCGUCCCCGUCGCCGUCGCCGUCGCGGUCCCCGUCGGGCCCGAGGAAGCCCCUGA